UCUCCCUGGACAUAGGUGGAUUUAUAUUAAUACAGUUUCACAGCAACCCUGUGGAGGAUAUGAGAGCAGAAGUUUCUAGAACAUACAGAUAACUGUAUGUCAGAACACAGACUUCCUGUUCAGUUAUCCACCUGGCUUCAGAUUUUUAGUUCCCUGACCUACAGAAAUGUUUAGCAAAAGAGAGCAGUGGUUCGCAAACUUUUGUACUGGUAACCCCUUUCACAUAACAAGCCUCUGAGUGCGACGCCCCCAUAUCAAUUAAAAACACUUUUUUAUAUAUUUAACACCAUUAUAAAUGCUGGAGACAAAGCAGGGUUUGGGGUGGAGGCUGACAGCUCGCGACCCCCCAGGUAUAACCUCGCGACCCCCGGAGGGGUCCCGACCACCAGUUUGAGAACCCCUGAGUUAGAGGUUUCUGCUGCAGUGAUCAGCUAAUGAAGCAGAGGUUAUGGGUAGUCUAGAGCCUCCCAGGCAUCCCUUCCGCAACUACUUGUCAGAAACUUUUGCUGUGGAAGUGGUUGCCACGCCACCCUUACUGUGGGCUCCCAUAAUCUAUUUUUAUUGUAUUUUUAAUUUUAUAUAUUGCUCCCCUUGUAGAUGACAAAUAGAAACUUUCUAGGAUAACAGUCAGAAAAUCAGUCAUAGUAAUUCUGGCAAUGGUGCUUAUAAGGCAAUAAUUAACAUCCUUGACUCAA